rnacentral:miRNA from 1 species
UAAUAUCACUGGCUUACGGGAAA